AUGGAGCCUGUACUAGACUCAGAUCCAGGCCAAAAUGCUGUCCCUGUUAGUAUUGUCACAACGACAGAGGUUAUCCCAGAGUCUUCUGCACCAUCUGUCAAGACCACAGAAACCAUCUUGGAGCAGUCAUUUUGUCAUGUGACUAAGGUGGCAGUGUCUGAACCUCCUGUUUUGCCCAGAGAAGCUGUUCCUGCAAGUCAUGCCAUGCCUAUGGACAUCAUCCCUGAGGUGCUUGUCCUUCCUGUUAUGGCCAGUGAGGCCAUCCUCAAGCAGCCUGCUGUCACUGGCCAGGCCAUGGAUGCCAGUUUGAAGCAGCCCACUGUUUCUGUCUCUGACACAGAUGCCAUUCCAGAGUGGCCAGGUCUCACUUCCACAGGCUCAGAAUCUGCUUCAGUCUUCCAGUCUUUAGAAAUAGUCUUGGAGUCCAGGGCAGUCCCAGACCCAACUCUAGCCUCAAAAUCCACCCCAAAAUUGUCUCCAGUCUCAAACUCUGCUCCAGCCCCAGAGUCCCUGGAGUCUGCCCUAGACUAUGCUUUAGUUCCAGACUUUGCUCCACUUCCUGAGUUUACUCCAGAGCUAGUCCCAGUCCUGGAGUCACCAAGGUCCAUCCCAGAGUCGACUUCAGAGCAAUUCUCAGUCCAGGAACACCCAGAGAUCAUCUCAGAGCAAGUCCUAGUCCAGGAACAGACAGAGGUCAUUCCAGUACCAGUCCCAGGGUCUGUUCCAGAGCCAAUGCCAGUCUCAGAGUUUGUUCCAGAGCCAAUCCUAGAUCCGGAAUCUGUUCCAGAGCCAAUCCAAGACCUGCCAGAAUCCUCCACUCUCUCGGUCAGUCUUGUCAUAGGCAGGGAGGCUGUCCCCUGCCUUGCUCCAAAGUCAUCAGAACUACCCACUUUCCCUAUCAGUAGUGUCAUGGCCUCAGAGUUAACCUCUAAACCUAUUCUCAGCCAAAAGCCUACUUCCAAUGCUAAGGCCAUUCAUGCUCCCCAAGUAGUGGAAAGCACCCGGCCCUACUCCACGAUUUUUAAGCCAUCAUUGGUCAAGCCAGUCAAUACCCCCAGAUCCACUACUUUUAUUUCUCCAGCUCCGCCUUUAUAAACAACCAAACACUUACGGUUCACCCACCCCUACGGCAGCCUUCCACUCUGCCAGGAGGCAUCCAUUGGGAGGGGGGUACUGUCAGGGCUCUGCCCUGGCAGCUUUGUCUGUGGCGUCUUUGUUUAAUGUUUCUUUGUUUGUCUUGUGUCUUCACACAUUGCUUUGUCUUUGUUUAUGCCUGCCAUGUGUUCAUGCCAUCUUGUUUAGGCCUUGUCUUGUCCUCAUUUCUUUAAUUGUGCUCACCUGGCCCUCGUGUACUUUCCUCCCUUUAUAUUGUGCUGUUUUUCCUCUUGUGGUUGCUGGUUCGUCUUGUGCCAUAGAGACAGUUACUGAUUUGCUGCUCUAUAUUCCAGUCUUUCCCUGUUAUUGUGUAUCCUUUGUUGUAGUUUUUGCUCUAUUUCCACUACGUUUGUUUUUGUUUAGUUUUGCUUUACGUUUUAUUUACCCCCCCCCCCACCCCCCCUUUCAUUGUUGUUGAGUAGUGUUGUUGUGUGGUGCCUUGUGUAUUCAU
ensembl:lncRNA